AGACUGUAGUUGGGCAAAGAGACACCUUGGUGAUGGUGGUCUUCAAUCAGUCAAGGGCAGAGCAGUUGGCAGUCGUUUGUUCAUCCUAGCUUGGUGUCUGGCUUGAUGGCCAAAGCUGUCUUAUUCCUAGGACUCAUAA